CCUACGGGCGGCAGCAGUGGGGAAUAUUGCACAAUGGGGGAAACCCUGAUGCAGCCACGCCGCGUGAGUGAGGAAGUAUUUCGGUAUGUAAAGCUCUAUCAGCAGGGGAGAAAAUUACGGUACCUGACUAAGAAUCCCCGGCUAACUACGUGCCAGCAGCCGCGGUAAUACGUAGGGUGCAAUGGUUAUCCGGAUUUACUGGGUGUAAAGGGGGAGUAGACGGUUAAUCAAGUCAGAAGUGAAAGCCCAGGGCUCAACCUUGGGACUGCUUUUGAAACUGGGUAGCUAGAGUGCAGGAGAGGUAAGCGGAAUUCGUGGUGUAGCGGUGAAAUGCGUAGAUAUUAGGAGGAACACCAGUGGCGAAGGCAGCUUACUGGACUGUAACUGACGUUGAGGCUCGAAAGCGUGGGGAGCAAACAGGAUUAGAUACCCUUGUAGUC
rnacentral:rRNA from 1 species